rnacentral:rRNA from 1 species
UGGGGAAUUUUGGACAAUGGGCGAAAGCCUGAUCCAGCAAUGCCGCGUGAGUGAAGAAGGCCUUCGGGUUGUAAAGCUCUUUUGUCAGGGAAGAAACGGUGAGAGCUAAUAUCUCUUGCUAAUGACGGUACCUGAAGAAUAAGCACCGGCUAACUACGUGCCAGCAGCCGCGGUAAUACGUAGGGUGCAAGCGUUAAUCGGAAUUACUGGGCGUAAAGCGUGCGCAGGCGGUUUUGUAAGUCUGAUGUGAAAUCCCCGGGCUCAACCUGGGAAUUGCAUUGGAGACUGCAAGGCUAGAAUCUGGCAGAGGGGGUAGAAUUCCACGUGUAGCAGUGAAAUGCGUAGAUAUGUGGAGGAACACCGAUGGCGAAGGCAGCCCCCUGGGUCAAGAUUGACGCUC